rnacentral:rRNA from 1 species
UUGCCUCAGUAACGGCGAGUGAAGCGGCAACAGCUCAAAUUUGAAAGCUGGCCCCCCCGGGGGUCCGCGUUGUAAUUUGUAGAGGAUGAUUCGGCGAGGGCUCCCGCCUAAGUCCCCUGGAACGGGGCGUCAUAGAGGGUGAGAAUCCCGUAUGCGGUGGGCUGCCUUAGCCAUGUGAAUCUCCUUCGACGAGUCGAGUUGUUUGGGAAUGCAGCUCUAAAUGGGAGGUAAAUUUCUUCUAAAGCUAAAUACCGGCCAGAGACCGAUAGCGCACAAGUAGAGUGAUCGAAAGAUGAAAAGCACUUUGGAAAGAGAGUUAAAAAGUACGUGAAAUUGUUGAAAGGGAAGCGCUUGCAGCCAGACUUGUCCGCAGUUGCUCAGCCGGUCUCCUGACCGGCGCACUCUUCUGCGGCCAGGCCAGCAUCAGUUCGGGCGGUCGGAUAAAGGCCCCGGGAACGUAGCUCCUCUCGGGGAGUGUUAUAGCCCGGGGUGGAAUGCGGCCAGCCUGGACUGAGGAUCUCGCUUCGGCUAGGAUGCUGGCGUAAUGGCUGUAAGCGGCCCGUCUUGAAACACGGACCAAGGAGUCUAACAUCUAUGCGAGUGUUUGGGUGUCAAACCCAUGCGCGUAAUGAAAGUGAACGGAGGUGGGAACCCUCGCGGGUGCACCAUCGACCGAUCCUGAUGUCUUCGGAUGGAUUUGAGUAAGAGCAUAGCUGUUGGGACCCGAAAGAUGGUGAACUAUGCCUGAAUAGGGUGAAGCCAGAGGAAACUCUGGUGGAGGCUCGCAGCGGUUCUGACGUGCAAAUCGAUCGUCAAAUUUGGGUAUAGGGGCGAAAGACUAAUCGAACCAUCGACUACUAGGUGGUUAAGAGGUGGCUGAAAGUGCCCACCUAGUCCCCCCGUCCUCGGACGGGGGGGCGACAUCGCCAAAUUGCGGGGACUCCCUUAGAGCCUCUACUACCGCGGCCGGCCGAAAGGCGCGGUGCAGCACCGGGUUAAUUGCCUAGGGUACGGUAAAAAGGUAGAGGAUUGGGAAAUCCGCAGCCAAGCGCCUAAGUCCCGCGGGAUACGGCGAAGGUUCAGAGACUAGAUGGCGGUGGGUCCGGCCCGAGGGCCGGGCCUAAGGUAUAGUCCACCCCCCGCGGA